rnacentral:lncRNA from 1 species
ACCGGAAAGAUGGACUGAAUUCAAACAAAAGCCUGUGCUCGGUACUGCUUAUUUGAAUGGAUGAAGAUGAAUGGAUGGCUGAUGGUGAUGUAUUCACUCAUUAUGCCUCAUUUCUUUCUCUUCUUUACAGUCUCCUUCUUCUGCCCCAUCCAAGUCUUCCAAAGACAUUGAAGCUAAUUUAUAGUGAUGCUUUCACUGCGCCCAAUUAUUAAGGAGUGAGAGAUAAUGGCGUC